rnacentral:lncRNA from 1 species
GGACUGUGCAAUCAGUUUUCUGCUGCUGGCCCUGUGUGAUGCAGGAGAUGCCAAGCACACCCAAAUGAUGAUAGCACAGAGCACACCGUGUGCUGUCUCGGCAGCGCACAUCACAGCCGCGUUCCUCGUCCCCGCACCAUUCCGCGCAUUCCUCGUCCCCUCCGUACCAUUCGGGAGGAUUCACCAGGCAGGAUCAUCCAUCUGGAACUCCGCUGGUUCCAUUGAGCUCUCUGGCCGUGCCAUCCUUCCCUUAACACUGUUUCCACUCGGCCGCUGUGUUUCAUUGUCGGGCCGGCGCUCUGGGCCCGCAGCAUCCCGGACAAGUUGCGGCGCUGUUGGCCGGGCCAGGUGUCCCCGAGCGGCGCGGGGCGGAGCGGGGCGGAGCGGGGCUCCCGGCCCGGCCCUCCCCUCCCGGCACAGCGACGGGGCCAGCCCGACACAGCCCGGGCAGCGGGGCCGCCGCCAGCCCGUCCUGCCCAGCCCAGCCCAGGUUGAUAUGGAAAACCAAACAAAAACCCCAAAGAAAGGAGAGCUGCAGAGAGGUGAUUUGGGUUUGCAUGACGCAUCAGUCCCCAGCACUGUCCAGAUAAAAUGAAAACCAGAAAGCGCUCAUCUGACUGACUGCUUUGCCUUCUCUCAGAGCAGGGCAGAGACAAUUGUUCUGCUUCCUCCUCUCACUGUGUCUUUUCCUCAUUUCUGAGGCAACUCCCAUGCGGGAUCAGUGAUCUUUAUUUCCUCCCCUCCCGCAGUGAUUGCGGCUCCCGGCUUUCCGCUCCGGGGCUGUGGGGGCUCCUGCGGCCGGCUGGAGCGGCCUCAGCUGGCCAGAUGGCUGCAGGGCCUGUCCGAGCCACCCUCAGCUGGCCAGGGGGCUCCAGGGCCUGUCCGAGCCACCCUCAGCAGCUCCCAGGGGGCUCCAGGGCCUGUCCGAGCCACCUUCAGCAGCUCCCAGGGUCUGUCCGAGCCACCCUCAGCAGGCCAGGCAGUGCUCCCAGGGUCUGUCUGUGUGCUGCUCUCCUUCUCUCACCGUGUGUGGCUGUGGCUGCCGUGCUGGAGCCCACGUUGGCCCGCAGAGCCCAGCGAGCGGGGCGAGCAGCCNNNNNNNNNNNNNNNNNNNNNGCAGCCGGCGCUGUGCUCGCCAGCGCUCCCCGCAGCCUCCCCUGCCCGAGAAUAAACAGACGCCUCCUGGCUUUUGUAAACA